rnacentral:tRNA from 1 species
UAAAAGGUCGGGAAGAUCAGU